AACGUAGGAGACAAACGUUAUCCGGAUUUACUGGGCGUAAAGGGCGUGUAGGUGGUAGAGUAAGUCUGGCGUGAAAUUUUUCGGCUUAACCGGGAAAGGUCGUCGGAUACUGCUUAACUAGAGGACGGUAGAGGCGUGUGGAAUUCCGGGUGUAGUGGUGAAAUGCGUAGAGAUCCGGAGGAACACCAGUGGCGAAGGCGACACGCUGGGCCGUACCUGACACUGAUGCGCGACAGCAUGGGGAGCAAACAGG
rnacentral:rRNA from 1 species